rnacentral:rRNA from 1 species
AAAGACCCCGGGACCUUCACUAUAGCUUGGUAUUGGCAUUCGGUGCGGUUUGUGUAGGAUAGGUGGGAGACUUUGAGGCAUGCACGCCAGUGUGUGUGGAGUCGUUGUUGAAAUACCACUCUGAUCGGAUUGGAUAUCUAACCUUGGCCCAUGAUCUGGGUUGGGGACAGUGCCUGGUGGGUAGUUUAACUGGGGCGGUUGCCUCCCAAAAUGUAACGGAGGCGCCCAAAGGUUCCCUCAGCCUGGUUGGCAAUCAGG